GGGGACGACAUGGCUUCGACGCUGGUAACAAAACCAAAGGUGCAUGUCGAGAUGACAACUAAUCUCGUAAAAUCAAAGUUGUAAACUUAUAGUUGCAAAUGAUGACAACUACGGUGCUCAACUAGCUGCGUAAGCAGUGAAAGAACACUUUUAGGGUUUCGACCCUAACGGUCUUUAGCAAGGUGCCUGUAUCGCGCUACUGACUGUCACUGAGAACAGGAUCGUAACGCGGCAUACUCAGGGUCGUUUUACUAAAUUUUACUGAGAUCGCCAACCACGUCCUGCCCGUUGGGCUGUGGAAGGUUAAACUAAUUAACGGAAUCUAAGCAUGUAGAGCCGAUGGCAGAGUGCUGACGGACGCGGGUUCGAUCCCCGCCGUCUCCACCA
rnacentral:tmRNA from 1 species